AUUAAACGCUGGCGGCAUGCCUUACACAUGCAAGUCGAACGGCAGCACGGGGGCAACCCUGGCGGCGAGUGGCGAACGGGUGAGUAAAGCAUCGGAACGUGCCCUGGAGUGGGGGGAUAACGUAGCGAAAGUUACGCUAAUACCGCAUAUUCUGUGAGCAGGAAAGCAGGGGAUCGCAAGACCUUGCGCUCUGGGAGCGGCCGAUGUCGGAUUAGCUAGUUGGUGGGGUAAAGGCCUACCAAGGCUACGAUCUGUAGCGGGUCUGAGAGGAUGAUCCGCCACACUGGAACUGAGACACGGUCCAGACUCCUACGGGAGGCAGCAGUGGGGAAUUUUGGACAAUGGGGGCAACCCUGAUCCAGCCAUGCCGCGUGAGUGAAGAAGGCCUUCGGGUUGGUUAAAGACGUCUUUCGGUCCGGGAACGGAAAUACGCAUAGGCUAA
rnacentral:rRNA from 1 species